AAAAAAAUAAAAACAGAUCCAUGGAACAGAAUAGAGAGCCCAGAAAUAAACCCAUACAUAUGUGGUCAAUUAAUUUACAGCGAAGGAGCCAAGAAUAUAUAAUGGGAAAGGACAGUCUCUUCAAUAACUGGUGUUGGGAAAACAACCAUUCUCUUACACCAUACACAAAAAUUAGUUCAAAAUGGAUUAAAGACUUUAAUGUCAGACCUGAAACCAUAAAACUCCUAGAAGAAGACAUAGGCAGUAACUUCCUGGACGUCAGUCUUGAUGAUGGUUUUUUGGAUUUGACACCAACAGCAAAGGCAACAAAAGCAAAAAUAAAGUGAGACUGCAUCAAACUAAAAAGCUUCUGCACAACAAAGGAAGCCAUUAACAAAAUGAAAAGGCAACCUGUGGAAUGGGAGAAAAUAUUUGCAAAUCAUAUAUCUGAUAAGUGGUUAAUCUUCAAAAUAUGUAAAGAGCUCAUUAAAUGGUAGCAAACAAACCAAUGGGCAGAGGAUCUGAAUGGACAUUUUUUCAAAGACAUACAAAUGGCCAACAGGUACGCAAAAAGAUGCUCAGCAUCACUAAUCAUCAGGUAAAUACAAAUCAAAACCACAAUGAGAUAUCACCUCACACCUGUUAGAAUGGCUGUCAUCGAAAAGACAAGAAAUGUGUUGGCAAGGAUGUGGAGAAAAGGGACCCCUCGUGCACUGUUGGCAGGAAUGUAAAUUGGUGCAGCCACUACGGAAAGCUAUGGAGGUUCUUCAAAAAAUUAAAAAUAGAACUACCAUAUGACCCACCAAUUCCACAUCUGGGUAUUUAUGUGAAAGAAAUGAAAACACCAACUUGAAAAGAUAUAUGCACCCCCAUGUUCGCUGCAGCAUUAUUUAUAGUUUUAUAAUUUGUGAACUUAUAUAUACUUAUAAAUUUAUAAUUUACAUUAUUAUACAUGCACACACACACGAAUAUUACUCAGCCAUAAAAAAGGAAGUCCUGCUGUUUGUGACAAUAUGGAUGGACCUUGAGGGCAUUAUGAAAGCACUAGCUGGGCAGGAGAAGGGAUGCAAAGACAAGACAGUCACUGCCUUCGACCUUCAGCCUGCCUAUGUGAGGGAGGCGCAACUUGGGAUUUACCACAAGCCAGGAGUUCCACACCUAAUGAAUAGACCAAACCCAGCCCAUUGUCAACAGAGAAGAGUCCAUCUCAAACAUAAAAGAUUUUAAAUCAAAAUGGAUGUUAGAGGAGCAUGAUUCCUGGCAUUGUUGGGCAGCCAGCAUUGUCUCUAGCAGCUGACAGGAUCCCAGCUUCACCUUCACACGCAGGCCUCAGGCAGUUCCAGGCACCCCUUCAUGCCAGCAAAACGGAUAAACAAUUCUACUUUAAAUCUUUACACCACAUCAUGUCGGAGAAGAGAACAUAUUUCUUCUAAUAGCUGUCACAGAACAGAAAGAAAGCUUCUCUUUUCAAAAAAAUGUUUUCUUGUCCUUUGCUGUAAUCGAGCAAUGUGGCCAGUAAGGACUUACCCCUGCAGGUGGGAUUAGGUCAGUCCCACCCAACCUAUGACUCAAGAGUAAGGCAGUGGACAGGUCCCCAGGGGAAGAUGAGAGUAGGAAAUGAAUAAGCGAUGGAAGAUGUUCACUACAAGUCUCUACAAGAUGACAAGUGCCACACUGCACUGUGGGGAUAUAAUCCUCAAAGUCUUAAUUCCUGCCCUCCAGGAGCUCACAGCCUAGAGGAGGAGACAGACAGUUAUAACAGCACAAGGAGAGAAACAUGUCCAUGAGAGUAUAGAGGACGGUUACCC
rnacentral:lncRNA from 1 species